rnacentral:rRNA from 1 species
GACGAACUGUCCAAACGUUACUCGGAAUUACUGGGCUUAAAGGGUGCGUAGGCGGCUCAGAAAGUUGGGUGUGAAAGCCCUCGGCUUAACCGAGGAGGGUCGCCCAAAACUACUGAGCUUGAGGAAGACAGAGGUGCGCGGAACUUGCGGUGGAGCGGUGAAAUGCGUUGAUAUCGCAAGGAACACCAGGGGCGAAAGCGGCGCACUGGGUCUUUUCUGACGCUGAGGCACGAAAGCUAGGGGAGCGAAGAGGAUUAGAUACC